GCCUUAGUGGCGCAGCGGUAGUGCGCUUGUCUAUCACACCGGAGGUCCCGGGUUCGAAUCCCGGCCAGGGCA
rnacentral:tRNA from 1 species